ensembl:lncRNA
UUAUACCCCAAUGUGACUGACUAGCAAGUAGUGUCAUGGUUGUGAAGUGACAAAUGUCUAUAUUGGCAAUUUUUUGCUGAAAUGUUCUGUUUAAAUACAGGACAGAAUACUGUACUAGUCUAGUAAUUUCAUGGGACUUUAACACACAACCUCGGCAUUAUAACAGACGCCAAGUAGUCUCUGUGAAUGAAUUAGUAGGGGGUGCUCUGUUUUCCCAGCCCACAACUUCUUCAUGAAUCUCACAACUACAAAACAGAGGAGGAAAAGCUAAACCACAGAGACAUUUUCAUGAUAUGUGGUUUGCUACUGCUACAGUGCCGGCCAGUAACCAAACUUAACCUGUGCAAUUAGAACAUGUUACACCGUCUGAGGAGUCGCUUUGAAGCUGUCGGCACCAGACAUAGAUAAUGAGGGGCUGCGCUUUGAACUGGUCAGAUGAGGACUACUUAAAUUGAAGCUGUCAUGCCUCAACAUCUUCUGUCCCGUGACAUUAAGUGUGCUGUUCACACUAUCCUCCCCUCCAGAAGCAUCUGGUCUCAUUGAUCCAGUCGGGUGGCAGAAUGAAAGCGAGCAGCGCAUCUCUCCUGCCGAUUACCUCCAUCUCUCCAACUGUGCCAAAGUGACUGAAGUCAGCAUAAUAGUCAUAGAGGGAAGAGUCAUCUGCCUCCCGCGGUCUGCCAACACACAGACCACCAUGGGAAGUGAGGGAGCGAAAAAGAAAGAGGAAGAAAAAGAUAACUGGAGAGAUUGGACAGUCGGGAGCUUUUGAAGAGAAGAAAGACCGAAUUCUGCCCCAAGAACAGCGAUAACGGACAUGGGGUCCCACUGGGGGAUGGGC